GACCUCUUGGUGCUUACUAGAGGCUGUGUUCUUACACUGACCAUAUAGAAAGAGAAGACAGAGUAAACCUAACCUAUGUACACCCCAGCCAAUACCCCAUGCCUGAUCUGUAUUGUGAAUGGGGGAACAUGG
ensembl:snoRNA